AUGCAACGCCCAGGAAAAUUCACCCCUCCCCGCUCCUCCGCAGCCACCUCAGCCCAGGCGGAGCCGAGCCCGGCGCCCCCCCGACCCCACGCCGAGCACCCCCGGGGGCUGCUCCCCUCACGGAGGGGACCGAGAGGGACGGAGCCACACCGGGGGGCCUCCGGGCUCCGCGCAUGCGAGCCGGGCUCCGGCUGUCCCAGCCCAACGACGCCCGGGGGCGGUUGGAGGUGGCCGGGUGGCUGUGGAGAGGGCGGCCCCGGUGCUCCCCGGAGGGCAAUGGAGCGGUGCCGGAGGCCGGGCGGCGGCAAGGCUCCGAGGAAGAAGCGCUGCUCGUCCCCGCUGCCCGGCGGGGCGGCUGCCCUGAGGCGGCCGGGGCCGCUGCAGCCCUGCCGGCGGCGGCUGUUCGGGAACGCGGCGCCCCGCGGGCCGCAGCCCGGCUGCCUGAAAGGAAAAUCCAGUGUGAAAACCUUACCAAAAAUUAAAGAAGGUCUUGAAGCCACCGAAGUGAGCCAUUCAUCCAACCAAAGCAUACAAGUGAAUGUCAAAGAAAUACCAGGCUUGGAAAAAAAUGAGGAGAAUAUAGAAGACAGCACUGUACUGCCGGAGGAAUCUCUGAUAAUCGACUUUGAAAGUAGAGACAGUCUGAAAAAUGCUGAUGUUACUUCGGAUACAGGAAUGACUCUUCCCACAGGCGUUUCAACAUUUCUCCUGGAGUGUUUAGAUACAGAUUCAACUGAAGAUUAUAACACAGGUGCAAGUGAAAGCCUGAGCAGUUGUCCAUCCCCUGAAACUUUCAGAGAUGACGAAGGUUUAGGGAGAAGUAACCCUUACUUCGAGGACUUCAUUAAAUACAAGAACUCCACGCUCCUGGACUCCAGCAAAGCAGUGGCCAUAGACGAGAUACCACAGAUCUCAAAUCUUUCAGCAAUAUUAGAACCUGUAUUGGAAGAUUUUCAAGAUCAAUACACAAGAAAGAGACCAUCAAAAUGCAAUGAUAGGUCUUCAGAAUUAAGUGUUUCAACUACUCUGGCAGGUGAAGUAUCACGAGGUAAAAAAGCCUGUAAAAUUACAACUGCAAGAGAGAGAACUCCAGACCUAAAAACUGGUAUGCGCUGUUCUUCACGAAUAGGACCGGAAAGAAAGCCUGACAUUCAGACUGCUGAACCCAAAGGGGUGAAGUGCAAGAGAAAUGAAGAGUUUUCUAAUCCGUUAGAAGAUGAUGCAUCAUCACUCAGUCAGCUUGAAUCUGUCCCAGCAAAUGUUUCAGCCAAAUCAGUGAGGAUGCCAGCAGAAGCACUGCCAUCCAGACAGACAGAUGCUGUGGUGCAAAUGAAUUCUACUGUGCUGAUCAUGGAGAAAAAUAAAGCCCUGGAAAAAAUUGAUUAUGUUCAGCGUGCAAAGCUAGAUCCUUUGUGUUACGGAAAAGAAAUCUGCUCCAUUGUCAGAACUUCACCAGGUCACAGGUCUUCCAGGUGUCACCAAAUUCCAGUUAACACAAAAGCGUUCUGCAUUCCUAAAGGAGUGCCUGAAGAUAUUAUUACAAGUACCAAAAAUUGGAUCUGUAAACGCAGAUGA
rnacentral:lncRNA from 1 species